GGAUUAUAUAGGGGAUUUGGGAUUUCAAUAUUGACAUAUGCUCCAUCAAAUGCAGUUUGGUGGACUUCUUACUCUGUUGCUCACAGACUCAUUUGGAGUGGUCUAGGCUACUACACAAGUAAGAAGGAUGAAGGUUGUAUUAAUGGUGGCUAUGGCUUUAAAUCAGAUUCUAAGGCAACGGUGGCAGUUCAGGGGUUGAGUGCAGCCUUGGCCAGUGGAGUUUCUGCUAUCAUAACAAUGCCUCUGGAUACCAUCAAGACUAGAUUGCAAGUUUUGGAUGGAGAAGAAAAUGGCCAAAGACGCCCUCUAACAGCAUUGCAGACCAUAAGGAACUUGAUUAAGGAAGGUGGACUGAAUGCUUGUUACAGAGGGCUUGGUCCAAGGUGGGCUUCAAUGGCCAUGUCGGCGACCACCAUGAUCACAACCUAUGAGUUUCUCAAACGACUGUCUACUAAGAACCAAGAUUGUUUGAGCAGAUGAUGAGAGAUAUGCAAAGGAAACAUUUCAAGUUACAUGAUUGCCAUUCUCUGACCAUAGACUACAAUGGUUUGGAUAUUGCCCUUUUCUUUUACUUAAGUAAUUCCCCUGUUGUUGGGUAGGCUUUAUUUAAG
rnacentral:misc_RNA from 1 species